rnacentral:rRNA from 1 species
AACGAACGCUGGCGGCAUGCCUAACACAUGCAAGUCGAACGAGACCUUCGGGUCUAGUGGCGCACGGGUGCGUAACGCGUGGGAAUCUGCCCUUGGGUUCGGAAUAACAGUUAGAAAUGACUGCUAAUACCGGAUGAUGUCUUCGGACCAAAGAUUUAUCGCCCAGGGAUGAGCCCGCGUAGGAUUAGCUAGUUGGUGGGGUAAAGGCCUACCAAGGCGACGAUCCUUAGCUGGUCUGAGAGGAUGAUCAGCCACACUGGGACUGAGACACGGCCCAGACUCCUACGGGAGGCAGCAGUGGGGAAUAUUGGUCAAUGGAUGCAAGUCUGAACCAGCCAUGCCGCGUGCAGGAAGAAGGCCUUCUGGGUUGUAAACUGCUUUUGCCAGGGGAUAAAAUUUCCAUGCGUGGAAAACUGAAGGUACCUGGUGAAUAAGCCAACGGCUAACUAACGUGCCAGCAGCCGCGGU